rnacentral:rRNA from 1 species
UACGGAGGGUACAAGCGUUAUCCGGAUUCACUGGGUUUAAAGGGUGCGUAGGUGGGCAGGUAAGUCAGUGGUGAAAUCUCCGGGCUUAACCCGGAAACUGCCAUUGAUACUAUUUGUCUUGAAUACCGUGGAGGUCAGCGGAAUAUGUCAUGUAGCGGUGAAAUGCUUAGAUAUGACAUAGAACACCAAUUGCGAAGGCAGCUGGCUACACGAAUAUUGACACUGAUGCACGAAAGCGUGGGGAUCAAACAGG